UACUGCACCAGAGUUGUUGGUGUCACCUGU
rnacentral:piRNA from 1 species